rnacentral:rRNA from 1 species
UACAGAGGUCUCGAGCGUUGUUCGGAUUUACUGGGCGUAAAGGGAGCGUAGGCGGUUCGGUGUGUUGAAUGUGAAAUCCCACGACUCAAUCGUGGACAUGCAUUCAAAACUGCCGGACUGGAGUACUGGAGAGGAGAGCGGAAUUCCUGGUGUAGCGGUGAAAUGCGUAGAUAUCAGGAGGAACACCGAUGGCGAAGGCAGCUCUCUGGACAGAUACUGACGCUGAGGCUCUAAAGUUAGGGGAG